rnacentral:Y_RNA from 1 species
GGCUGUUCCAAUUACAGUGGUGUUUAUAACUAAUUGAUCACAACCAGUUAGAGAUUUCUCUGUUCCUUCUCCACUCCCACUACUUCACUUGGCUCUUCUUAA